CACGUAGGGCGCAAGCGUUGUCCGGAAUUAUUGGGCGUAAAGAGCUCGUAGGCGGUCUGUUGCGUCCGCUGUGAAAACUCGGGGCUUAACCCCGAGCCUGCAGUGGAUACGGGCAGACUAGAGGUAGGUAGGGGAGAAUGGAAUUCCCGGUGUAGCGGUGGAAUGCGUAGAGAUCCGGAAGAACACCGGUGGCGAAGGCGGUCUGCUGGGCCAAGACUGACGCUGAGGCGCGACAGCGUGGGGAGCAAACAGG
rnacentral:rRNA from 1 species